rnacentral:rRNA from 1 species
UGGGGAAUAUUGGACAAUGGGGGCAACCCUGAUCCAGCAAUGCCGCGUGUGUGAAGAAGGUCUUCGGAUUGUAAAGCACUUUCGACGGGGACGAUGAUGACGGUACCCGUAGAAGAAGCCCCGGCUAACUUCGUGCCAGCAGCCGCGGUAAUACGAAGGGGGCUAGCGUUGCUCGGAAUGACUGGGCGUAAAGGGCGUGUAGGCGGUUUACACAGUCAGAUGUGAAAUCCCCGGGCUUAACCUGGGAGCUGCAUUUGAUACGCGUAGACUAGAGUGUGAGAGAGGGUUGUGGAAUUCCCAGUGUAGAG